AAAAGAAAUUAGAAUUCCUCCUUUAAGACUUUAAAACUUUUUACAACUCCUCUACCGAGGCUCCAAAACUUUUAAAUCUCCUCCACCAAUGCGUCAAAUUUAAAAAUGAAAUAAAAAACUCAACCAUCAAGGCUUUAAACUUUAAAAGAAAAUGAGAAUCCUUCCACCGGAUCUUUAAAACUUUUUACAACUCUUCCACCAAGACUCCAAAACUUUUUAAUCUUUUCCAUCGAGGCUCUAAAUUCCUUCACCAAGGUUUCAAUAUCUUAAGAAUUCUUUCAUUGAGGUUUCAAUAUCUUAAGACUUCCUCCAUCAAGGUUCCAAUAUCUUAAGAAUUUUUCUGCCAAGAUUCCAAUAUCUUAAGAAUUCCUCCACCAAGCCUUCAAAUUCCUCCAUCGAGGCUUCAAUAUCAUAUGAAUUCCUCAACCGAGGCUUCAAUAUCUUAAGAAUUCCUCCACUCAGGCUCUAAUAUCUUAAAAAUUUCUCUACUAAGUUUCCAAAAUCUUAAGAAUUCUUCCACUGAGGUUCCAAUAUCUUAAAAAUUCCUGCACUAAGGUUCCAAACUUUAGAUAAAGCUCCUCCACCAAGGCUUCAAAUCUUAAAAAAGGAAAUAUCAUUUCCUAAAUGUGUUAGUUCAAGAAGCUUAAGAUAAAGAAACCAAGAAAAGAGUGAAUUGGUAAUUUAAAAAAAUUGAUUUUUCUUGAAAACAGAAGUAAAGAUGAAAACUUUGAAAGCACAACUUAAAAACCCAAGUAUGAAAGCUUAAAAGCUGAAGAAUAAAGCAAGUAAUGAGUAUAAAAGAGAAGAGAAAAACUCAAUCAUGAUUUUAUAGAGGUUGGAUCCUUAAAGCUUACGUCUUUUCCCUUAAUAGUACAAGAAGUUUGAAUUCGUUAUCAACUGCCCUUUUCAACCAGAUUCAAGCAUAACCUUUACAAGUAACUACUUUUUAAGGAUUAAUCACUAUAAUAUCUCGUACUUUGAUAUGGUGACUAAUAAAGCUUAUUGGAUGUCAAUUGAGGUUAAUUAUAAUGUUUAAAAGUGAUGAAAGAUGAAAGAAACAAUUGGGAUAAAAAAUUUCGCACGCGAGAAAAUAAUAAUAAAAUAAUAAUAUUUUAUCGAGAAAAAAUUUAUGAGAUAAAAAGUGAUUCGAAAGUGAAUUGAGGCAUAAUAAGGUAUUUUGGAUACCAAGGAGACGAGAAAAUUUUUGGAAUAAAAAAAUAUUUUAUGAAUAAAAUAAUACUAAAAUAUUAAUAUUUUAUUCAGUGUCAAAAUUUUCCAUGAAUGAGGAGUAUAUGAUCAGUCUAAGUGGGGGAGAAAAAGAAUGAGAAAAUUUUGGAGAAAAAAAUGAUGUUAAUGGGGCCGCGUGUCUUUAUUAAGUAAAGAUAGCGUGGGUAAAUAAAUAUUUUAAAUAUUACGGGGACAUCGCGUUGGAGUACAAACUUCAUACUUUGUUUGUACAUGUGUAGAAGAAGAUAAUAAAAGGAAGUUGGAGUAAAAUGAGUGUUGGGAGGACUAAAUUAAAAUGGAAAGAAACAAAAAGGGCAAAACGAUAAUUUUAUGUGAAAUUUGGUCAAAGCUUCCAAAGGAAGCUUUGACCCUGAUUUUUUUCAGCCCAAAACCGUUCUUAUCUCCUUCAGCAAGAUAUUUCUUCUUAAUUCUUGAAGCUUCCAACGCCAUUCUCUCAUUCUCCCAUGGAAAGUUAAUUUUCUUUCAUUUUCUUUCCAUUUCCUUUAUCUUCUUGCUUCUUUCUUCUCCCAACUUCUUAUGCACCAAAGUUACAACUUCUUAUGCACCAAAGUUACAACUUCUAAGCCCAAUUUCCAGCACAUACAAACCCUAGGAGAAGAAGAAAGAAGGAGAGAAAGGAAGAAAAAGCUUGGUUUUGGUGAUUCAAGUAAGGAACGAUAAGAAUUCUUGUUUUUGGCUUGAGUAGUUUUUGAAAAUGAGUUAGUGACUUAGAGAAAUGUCUUGUGGCAGCAAAGAUUGGCUUGAUUGGAGAAAAAUUGGUAACAUGUAAGCCAAUAAACCCAUGGGUACAUGAAUGACUCAAAAUGGAAAAGGAAAACAGUAAGCUUAACACUAUGUUUUAAAGCCUAUGGUUAGUUGAAUAUUGUGAGGCAUUAUGGUUGUUGAAAGGAUUUAUUUGCCUAAGCUAGUUGAAAAUUAUUAAGAUUGUUUGACAUGUUGUUUGAAAGAAAUGAAAAAGGAAUAUUGUGGAUGGAGGAUUGAGAAACAAAGUAUUGAAAGUAAGAUAGAUAACGAUGUAUGUAAACUAGGAAAUAAUUGAGUGAAAGUAAGAAUGAUUGUGUCACGACCCGGUACUCCCCUCGAGCCCGUGACAAC
rnacentral:lncRNA from 1 species